GGGGGACUGGAACUAGUGACAAAAUUAAUCUACCGGGGUGGGCAUAGUAUGAGAAAUCGUCAAAAUAUCCGCAAUCAUCAAAGUAAAAUCGAAACUUUUUGAUACAUUUAUAAAAUUUAAAGGACCCUUUUUUUCCAAUGGAUUUUUUUCUCAUUCUUUUUCUUUUAAAAAAGCGUGCAUUUCUACAAGCUGCAAAAAAACUUAGGAGCCCUUCCCUGUUUUAGAUUUCGACCCAGAAUGCGUUGCGCACCUGUGGCUCUUCCCAGGCCCCUCUGCCGCGGUCGUUCUCUUUCGGCAGCCAUCCAAAAUGGGGAUCUCAAGAGACUCCUGGCAUAAGCACCGCGCCACCGGCGGCAAGAUGAAACCUCUUAGAAAGAAGAGGAAGUUUGAGCUUGGCCGCCCACCAGCGAACACCAAGAUCGGCACCAAACGUAUCCAUGAAGUCAGAACUCGUGGUGGCAACAGGAAAUUCAGGGCUCUUCGGCUUGACACUGGGAAUUUCUCCUGGGGAUCUGAGAGUAAGUGUUUUAGGCUGCAUUUCCACUAGUAUGAAAUACGAUUAUACUCUGAGUAUAAUUGAAAGUGUAUGUGAUGAUUAAAUGAUACUUGUUUGUACCA